AUGCUCUUAUAAUUCGCAGCCCUGAACAACGGAAACGUUGUGAAUGCGACACUAGCUCAGUUGGUAGAGCGCAACCUUGCCAAGGUUGAGGUCACGAGUUCGAACCUCGUGUGUCGCUCCAAAUUCUUUUCGAAGAAAAGAAUAGCGCCGCACAACCUAGUUAA
rnacentral:tRNA from 1 species